GAAAGCAGGAAGGACUCCCAUAAAAACAGGGGGAUUCCUCUCUGGAGAGGAAUUCCAAGCAAAGGCAAAACUACUUUGAAAAAGGGAUCUGCCCACAGUCUAAAAACCAGAAGACUAUCCUGGAAAAAGGCUCCACUGCCCAAAAGGUAGAGAAGAUAUUACAACCUCAUAGAGAAGUUAACAGUGAAGAAGAAUUUAUCCUCCAAGCCUUGGGAAUGAAACAGAUGAUCAAUUGAUAGAAAGAUAGCUAGAUGUAUUUGUGUGAAUGUCUACGUGUCAAAGGGGACCAGGAGAUACUAGAAUAAUAGGAUAAUGCAAAAAGAAAAGGAAAGAGAGUCUGGCAGAAAGCCUUGGUGAAUUCCAGUAUUUAAGAUAGUGGAGAAGAUUCAUUUUUAUCAGCAACAGAGAAGGAAAACCACUGUACAUGGUGUUAGACAGCCCGGACAGGGCAGCGUGUAAAGAGGGCGAGUGUGAGCAAAUCGGUCAGAGACGGCUCAGAGUCCUGCUAAGAAGUCUGCGAAGUGUCCCUUGUAUGUGACGGCACAGACACCGCUGAAUGCCAGACUAACAGCAGAAAGAACAUCUGUGAAGAGAGCUGGCGUUGGCUCACCCACACAAGUUUCUCCUGGAAGAAAAGUCACAAAGGCCUCCCAACCCAAGGGAACUCUGUUCAAGCCAGCACGGGAACGAGUCCACCUCGGUGCCCUACUGAACACAUUUACGUUCCUUGUUCAUUACGGAGACCUGGCAAACACAGACACAACUUAAUGGGAGGUCACCAACGCACGUGCAGGGUAACUCCUGACUAAGCUACCUACACCAGAGUCCUUAACUCGGGUCUCUGUGAGGGAAACCAACAUCAGAUACCACCUUGGGCUCUCUGGCAUAAGAAUAAAGAGCACCUACAGGAACUCGGGAGAGCAAGAACUUGGAGCAGAUAGAAGCCUUAACAUUUAGUCAAGGAAGGCGUAUGCCUACGUCUACUCUCAAGAGAGAGAAGGGAGACAGAUGCCUCUACUUCACGCUCUUUCUUCUCUCAAGACUGCUGGUGUUCUCUGUUGCCUGAAUCACCUGAAAUCCGAACAACAAGAGCUCCCAUCCACCUCUCUCCUACAUCAGCCAAAGAGCAAAGGCACAGAUGGAUCGUGGUCAGCGCGGAGGGGCCCACAUCCCAGACCCAAAUCAAGCGUGCCUCCUCCUGGUCUCCC